rnacentral:lncRNA from 1 species
GAGGCCCUGCGGGAGCCGACUGGGAAGGUCUGGAACUCUGACACCCCGCCCCGCGAGCUGUGCUCUCAGUCUCAUGUCAUCCCACCACAAGGACAGAUAUUAAGUACCAUAUAUGGGAAAAAUGCUAUUUUACAUAAUUAUGAUCCCUGUGGGGGCGGGCAUGGACUCAGCCCUGGAUUCCAUUGUGAGCGUCUUGAGUUCGAUUCCUGACCCUGCCUCUUUAGGAUCCGCACGUUGCUGCCUUUCAGCCUCCAAACCUUCGCUCUGGCCGUUCUCUCCACCUGGAAUACCCUUCCGAGCCUCUCUUCACCUCCAUGUCAUUAACUCGCAUACAUCCUUUCAGGUACUUGUUACAAAUUGCACUUUUUUUUUGUUACUGUCCACUACAAGAGGAUAAAAAAUGUUUUCAUUUUUAAAUGAAAAAUCUUUUGAUCCAUUUGGAAUUUAUUUUUGGGGUAAGGAAGAAACCUAAGAUAAUUUUUGUAAUAGCCACUUGUCCAAACACUGUUUUCUCCACUGAUUUUAGUUGGCACCUUCAUCGCCUAUAGAACUAUUAUACUUGAAGCUGUUUCUGACUUGUAUACAUUGAUCUCUCUGUGUGCACCUGUGCCAAUCCCACCAUGCUUUAAUGAAGAUACCUUUAUAAUACAUUCUAUAUCUAUGAGGGCAAAUUUCUCAUCAUUACUCUUUCUUACUGGAAUGUGCUUGCUAUCAUGACUAUUCUUCCAAAUUAACUUCAGAAAAAAGCUAUGUUCUAAAGGCAAAAGAAAGCUGGGAAAAAAAGAUUUUGCAACUCUGUGACAAAUUACUAUCAGCAAUAUAUAAAGAUCUCUUCCCAGUUGAUAAGAAAAACCUCGGCCGGGCGCGUGGCUCAUGCCUGUAAUCCCAACAUUUUGGGAGGCCGAGGCGGGCGGAUCACCUGAGGUUGGGAGUUCAAGGGCAGCCUGACCAACGUGGAGAAACCCCGUCUCUACUAAAAAUACAAAAUAAUUAGCCGGGCAUGGUGGCCCAUGCUUGUAAUCCCAGUUACUCAGGAGGCUGAGGCAGGAGAAUCGCUUGAACCCGGGAGGCGGAGGUUGCAGUGAGCAGAGAUCGUACCACUGCACUCUAGCCUGGGCAACAAGAGCAUAACUCCGCCUCAAAAAAAAAAAAAACAAAGAAAAAGAAAAAGAAAAACCUCAAAGACUCCAAAAUAAAAAUGGCCAAAAACAGGAACAGGUGAUUUUAAAGAAGAAUUAUAAAUGGCCAAUAAUUAUUUUUAAAAAGCCAUAAGAAAUGCAAACAAAACAACAUAAAAUGCCAUUUUCACCUAAUUAAAAAAAAAAUGCUCAAUAUUGGUCAGGUUUAUAGAUACAGAUGAGAAAGUAAAUUGAUCAAUUCUAUCUGAGAAUUCAUCUUAAAAGACAUUAGAAAAGUACACAGAUAUGAACUUUAAAGUUCUUUGCAGCCGGGCGCGGUGGCUCACGCCUGUAAUCCCAGCACUUUGGGAGGCCGAGGCGGGCGGAUCACGAGGUCAGGAGAUCGAGACCAUCCCGGCUAAAACGGUGAAACCCCGUCUCUACUAAAACUACAAAAAAUAGCCGGGCGUA